UACGUAGGUGGCAAGCGUUGUCCGGAUUUAUUGGGUUUAAAGGGUGCGUAGGCGGCGCGGUAAGUCGGAUGUGAAAUCUCGGAGCUUAACUCCGAAACUGCAUUCGAUACUGCCGUGCUUGAGGACUGGAGAGGAGACUGGAAUUUACGGUGUAGCGGUGAAAUGCGUAGAUAUCAGGAGGAACACCGGUGGCGAAGGCGGGUCUCUGGGCCGUAACUGACGCUGAGGAGCGAAAGCAUGGGGAGCGAACAGG
rnacentral:rRNA from 1 species